rnacentral:lncRNA from 1 species
AAAAUGACGAGCACCCAAAAUGUGUUCUCUAGGCCUUUUAGAAAACAUGGAGUUAAAAAAAGAAUGCCCCACAAGUGUUACCAUGGCAAAAGUGGAAGUCUGCAAUGCCACCCAGCAUGCUGUUGGCAUUGCUGUAAACAAACAAGGGCAAGGUUCUUGCUAAGAGAAUUAAUGUGCAUAUUGAGCACAUUAAGCACUCUCUGAGCUGAGAGAGCUUCCUGAAGCGCGUGAAGGAAAAUGGUCAGGAAAAAAAGAAGCCAAAGAGAAAGGUGCCUGGGUUCAACUGAAGUGCCAGCCAGCUCCACCCAGAGAAGCACACUGUGAGAGAACCAAUGGGAAGGAGCCCGAGCUGCUGGAACCCAUUCCCUAUGAGUUCAUG